CCUGCUGAGAAGGUGGAAGUAGGCGUCACAAAGUCAGAAAUACUGAUGGGUUUGGUUCCACUCUGGAGAGGCAGGUUGCGGGGGAUGGAUCUGGAUACUGAUUCUGGCUGCAGGACCAGCAUGCCAGGGCCUUCAGAAUCCUCCAAUGGCUCAUGGAGAUGGACAGAUGAGAAAAUGAAAGUUCAAGGAGGUUAAGUAACGUGUUCAACACUCAACAAAUAAGGACUUUAAACCCUGGAAUGGCCAGUUCCAAAGCACCUGCUAAAACUCCCAGCUGGGAUCCCUCUGGGCCAGUUCUGUGCUCCAUCCUCAGCAUGAAAAAUUGAGAGAGGUUGCCUAGGUUCCUUUGCACUCCACCUCACCGCUGCUUGAGGGCUUGGGCUCUCGGCUUUGUGCACAGGGGAUGGGCAGGGAUGCCCCUAGUCCACCAUCAGGCCCUGCAUGACAUGGAGCAGUAGGAGCCCUGUGGCCUCCACAACCCACACUGUUGCUUGCUCUUGCAGGCUCCAGAGGUCUUUUGACUUGUUUAAGAAGGGCUACUGAUUGUCAUCUAUUUCUCACAUCUCAGCAAUAGCAUGCUGGCUUGAGUUUAAACUGAGCCCUCCUUUGCAAAAGCUUAGUCCAUACAUUCUUUACACAGCAACUUCCUAAUCAUCCAUUUAAUAAAACAAUAACUCCUAUGAAAACCUCUACAAAGGGCCUUUUUGUCCAAGGCUCAUUUAAUGCUCACAGCCAACCAGCAGGGGAUAUUACUAUUUUCAUCAUUUUGGUGGUCAAUCGAGGCAGAAAGGUGACCAACAGCAGGCACUGCAGAGUCCUCUGUGGCUCCUUGAUGACCAGAUGGGUAGCCUUGGACAAGUCACCCAUUUGUCGGAGCCUGUUUUUUUCUCAUGUAUAACCUGGAGGUAAUUGUGGGGACUAAAAACAGAGUGGGUGUGCAAUGCUUUGCACUGCUGCAGAGUAAGCACUCAAAACCAACAGCUUUUAUUUUCUCUUUUUCAGGUCCGUUUUUUGUUUUUGUUUUUGUUUUUGUUUUUUUUUGAGACAGGGUCGCACUCUGUUGCCCAGGCUGGGUGCAGUGGUGCCAAAUCCCAGCUCACAGCAGCCUUGAUCUCUCAGGCUCAAGUGAUCCUCCUGCCUCAGCCUCCCAAGUAGCUAGUAUUACAAGUGGCACAUCAGCAUACCUGGCUAACUUUUUAAAUUUUUUUAUAAAGAUGGGGUCCCACCAUAUUGCCCAGGCUGGUCUCAAACCAAUUUUUAAAAAUAGCCUUCAUUUUUUAGAGUGGUUUUAGGUUCACAGCAAAAUUAAGCAGAAAGUACAGAGUGAUCCCAGAUACUCCCUGCCCACACACGUGCAUAGGGUCCUCCACUGUCAACAGCUCCAACCAGAGUGCUGCAUUUCUUUCCAUCAAUGAACCUGCACUGACUUAUCAUUAUCACCUGGAUUCCACAGUUUACACUAGGAUUCCCUCUUACAGUUGUGAUUCUGUGGGUUUUGACAAGUGCAUAAUGACAUGUAUGUACCGUUGUAGUACGAGACGGCUUCAAUGCCCUAAAAUCCUCUGUUUUCUGUAUAGUCAUCCCUCCCUCUCCUCAAACCUCUGAUAACCCCACUGAUCAUUUUCCUGUCUCCAUAGUUUUGCCUUUUCCAGAAUGUCAUAUCUUUGGACUCAUAUAGUAUUUACUUUUCAGAUUGGCUUCUUUCACUUACAGACAUGCAGUUAAGUUUUUUCCAUGUCUUUUUGUGGUUUCAUGGCUCAUAUUUUUUUUUUGUAGCACUGAAUAGUAUUCCAUUGUCUGGAUAUACCCCAGUUUAUUUAUUCAGCAUCUACUGAGGGUCAUCCUUGUAGCGUCAAAGUUUUAGCAACUGUGAAUAAAGCUGCUAUAAAAUUGGUG